UACGGGGGGGGCAAGCGUUGUUCGGAAUUACUGGGCGUAAAGGGCUCGUAGGCGGCCAACUAAGUCGGACGUGAAAUCCCCAGGCUCAACCUGGGAACUGCGUCCGAUACUGGAUGGCUUGAAUUCGGGAGAGGGAUGCAGAAUUCCAGGUGUAGCGGUGAAAAUGCGUAGAUAUCUGGAGGAAUACCGGUGGCGAAGGCGGCAUUCUGGACCGACAUUGACGCUGAGGAGCGAAAGCCAGGGGAGCAAACGGG
rnacentral:rRNA from 1 species